CGGUAGGCAGAUCAAAGGUAUGUUUCUCUGUUUGCUGUAGGAGGCCCGUGGUUUCGUGUUGCUUGAGUGCUUCUCUGCUUCCGUCGGGAGAAGAGUUGCCGCAUGGACGAGAAAGGCUUCCCAGGCAACAAAAGAGAUGUUGACACACCAUGAGUCAGUUGUUGGCAAACUCUUCCGCAAACGAAGAUCCUCGCGCUUUUGCAUGCAGUCCUUCGUUGUGUCUCCUUCUGGUUGGAGUUCUUUUUUUCCCCGUUCCAGCUCUCUCCGAGUUCUUCCUGUUCGUUCUCUUCGUCCUUCUGUUUCGAAGUCUCGUUCUUCUGCUCCCCAUUUUCCCCCCAACACAACCCGCGAGGAACAGUCGCCUUAGUUGCGCCUUCAUUUUCCAGCAGGGGUCCGACCGGGAAAAGAAGCAGCAUCUAGCCAUGGAGCGUGAAGGCGCCUGGAGCUCUACCUCGCGUAAAAACUUUGAUGUGUCUCGGAAAAAACGUCUUUUCGAAUUUAGGUCAAAAACGCGAAGUCCGUCUCCUGGUUCUCGUCCACCGUCCCUUUUUUCUCCGGGGGAAGAAAUCCACACUGCCCUCGCACCUGUGGCUUUUCUCGGGGCUGCAUGCGCCGGAGACAAGCGGUGUGCGUGUCUGCUGCUUGUCGCCUUCCACGC
rnacentral:lncRNA from 1 species